ACGCCUAGGACCGCAACCAGUCCCUGCCAGUAACCUCUCUCAUGUCUCUGGCCACAACAGCUCCCUAGAGAGGAGCGCCAGAGCCAUCUCUGUUUCCUCUGGAUUUACGAUCCCUAGAUUUCUAGUCGGACCAUUUGGGGAGGUGCUCUACAUCUUAUUUCCGGUGGCGGAGAGGUGCAGUUGCCAUGGUAAUUAAAGAAAGGCCGAGGUCUGUCCGCCGGCGGGGAGAGGAUCUCGGAGUCUGCGAAGAGAAUUGGCUGCGCUUCCUCUCGUGUGAGCUGGAGUUAGAAUGGCCAUCAGUCCCGAAAGUGAUGCAGCUUUCUCCAUUCAGAAAUCAGUGCUUUCAGAGAGUCCUCGAACAAAGAAAUGUCCACUAACUGAAGAAGAGAUAUUUUAUAAGAAUUGUAGAGCUGCCUACUUAACUGUUUUCAAAAGCAGCUUAGAAAACAUCAUUUCUAAAGAUCAACUUUACUUAGCUCUUCAGCAUGCAGGAAGAAAUCCAUCCAAAAAGACCAUUAAUAAGUAUUGGACUCCUCAAACUGCCAAACUGAAUUUUGAUGAUUUUUGUAUAAUUUUAAGGAAGGAAAAACCUACUUCAAAAGCAGAACUGCUGGAAUCAUUUAAGCAAUUAGAUGUAAAUGAUGAGGGCUCUAUUUUACACACUGACCUUUCUAAACUUCUAACAAAGAGAGGUGAGAAGAUGACUCAAGAAGAAGUAAAUGCCGUAAUAAAUUUGGCUGAUGUAAAUGCUGAUGGCAGAUUUGACUACAUGAAGUUUUGUAAAUUAUAUAUGACAACCAAUGAGCAAUGUCUUAAAACUACUCUAGAAAAACUGGAGAUUGACAGUAAAUUGAGGUGUCAACGGUUUGGAAGCCACAUUGAAGUGUCUCCUGAAAGGGACCCAUUACCAAUACCAAAAUCGCCUAGAAUCAUAAGAAAAACUGAUCAGGAAAUAUUCUCAAGUAAAGGUGACACCAGGAGUUCUUUACUGACAACAACUAGGAAAUUCAAAACGUCAGUUUCCUUCACAAUUACCAUGAGUGCUAAUAGUAACCAAAACUCAAAGUUAACUGAGCCUAACUCAAUAAAGGAGUGGCAAUUUGUACAGUCAAAAGGCUGCUUUUUCUUAGAAGAAGAUGGUGAAAUCAUUAGUCAUCAAUACAGGAUGCAAGUAGUUCAGAGAUCCAUGGUUUAUCUAACAAUUAAGCCAUUAAACCUGAGUCAAGUUGAAGGAAAACCAUCCCCUUGGUUAUCAGUUGAUACUGCUUUAUAUAUUCUUAAGGAAAAUGAGAGUCCAGCAAAUCUACAGCUCAUGUGUUUUACUGAACUACAUAGUAGAGAAGUGUUUGGAUGGACUGGUGAACUAGGACCUGGAAUUUACUGGCUAAUUCCUUCCACAACUGGAUGUAUUCUGAGAAAAGAAAUAAAAACAAUAGCAGAAGAAGCCCAACUUGUGUAUAGAGAUGAAACAGGGGAGUUAUUUCUUACAAAGGAAUUUAGGUCAACUUUGUCAGAUAUAUUUGAAGUAAUUGAUUUAGAUGGAAAUGGUCUUCUUAGCCUUGAAGAAUAUAAUUUUUUUGAAUUGAGAACAAGUGGUGAGAAAUGUGAUGAAGAUGCUUGGGCUGUAUGCAGAGAGAAUUUUGAUACAAAAAAGAACGAACUAACAAAGCAGGGCUUUAUGGAUCUGAAUCUCAUGGAAGCCAGUGAUCGAGACGGAGAUCCUCGUGACCUUUGGGUAACUCUACACUCAAUGGGCUACAAUAAAGCUCUGGAAUUGACAGAGGCAUGCCCAUUUGUCAUCGACAUCUAUGCAGACAAAUGCAAGCCAAGAAUUAAAGCUGUCUAUAUGGAGACAUGCAGUGGGCAACUUGAGAAGGCAAUUUGUAAAUCUGUCCUUAGCAAAGGCGAUGCUAAAAUAAUGGAUGGCUAUGAAAAUAUAAUUGUACAUACUUAUAAACAUGACACCUGGAUAACAUCAGUUAUUGAAAACAAGGUAUCAGAUAUGAGUCGGAUAAUAAAGUGAUUAUUCAUGUCAACAAUGAGCUAAGUAAAAACUGCAUAAACAACAGAGGACUUAACAUAUUUGCAGUAGAAGUGGCACCAAAAUCUACAAUGGUUUGUCAACAUGUAAUGCCUCUGAAUGAACGACAAGAAUGGAUAUAUUACUGUGUAUAUUCCCUUAUAUCUUAAAGCUGCUUUUUAGGAAAUAAUUCUACUUGACGUUAUCAAAUUAAGAAGAAUUACUUCAGGUUUAGUCUAUUUGUUGAUCAACUAAGUGCUGAUUUAACUGAUGUAUAUAAAUAAUAAUCUAACUUGUAUGAAUUUGCAUUUUAUGCUUAUGUUAUAUAUUUUAUUAUUGAAAUAUAAAUAGUGCUUUUAUGUGUGGCCUUAUUAAUUUAAUGAGAAAUCUAGGCGCAUUUCAUUUACAAAUAGCAAAUCAAAAAAAAAUUACAAGUAAGCUUUUAAAAAGCUUGAAUUCUACAAAAUUCUAUACACUUGGUUUAUCUUA